CCGGAAGUCUUCAUGUGGCUGGUAUCUCGCUCGUGUUGUUUUGGGACCCUCUCCUUGGUUGGACCCUUCUUUGUCGAGUUCUCUGCCCUGGCUGUCCAAUGACAUUCGAACCAUUUUCUAUUCUAAUUUUCUAUGCAGUUGUGGACUAUGAACCGCGACUUUCAUUUCUUAGCAUAUGCAUAACAGUCUAGUAGUAGUUAAAAAAAAAUGCAAUGUUAUAUUUUAAUCAAAACUUUUGCAGCAAGAUUUUUUAAAGAAUUCCAAUAAUUAUGUAACACUUUCUUACGUGGGCUUGUCAAAGGUAACUGAACUAUGGCCCUCACUCAAGUGGCUACCAGAAGCACUGAGCUCAAGUGUCAAAUUAAUUUAGCCAUCUACCUGCCUCCAAAGACUGAGAAUGGGAAGUGUCCUGUCUUGUACUGGCUCUCAGGUGGUUGUAACAUCGAGGGUAAAGAUGAGAGCUGGGACUUUGGCACAGGUUUCUAUGUCAACGCCACCCAGGAGUCCUGGAAGAGCAACUACCGCAUGUACGCCUACGUCAGAGAGAAUAUGUCUAUUUCUGUCCACUCCAUGGGGGGGGCACAGAGCCCUGACGAAGCCUGGAAAAUACAAGGCAUGGCAAGUCACAGUCUUUGACUCAUGAUAUAGUCAUUAUGUAAUAUACACAUGUGAAUGAAGCCCCCACCCCUCUCUACAGUCUGUGUCUCUUGUUUGCCACCAUCUGCAACCCCAGCCAGAAGGCCUUCAAUGGGUACCUGGGAAAAGACAAGAAAGCCUGGGAGGCGUAUGAUGUCACGGUGCUUGCAGCGUCCUACUCCGGCCCUCAGCUGGACAUCCUGAUCGACCAGGGCAGUGAUGACUAGUUCCUGUCGGCAGGUCAUUUGCUUCCUGACAACCUGAUCGCCUCCUGCUCAGUGAAGAUCCCUGUGGUGUUCAGGCUGCAGCCGGUCAGUGCUUCCACCCAGUGGCCAACUACAGCAACUGUUUGAUAUUUAACAAUUUAAUGUGCUGUACUUUAGUUUGGAAUUUGAAUUAUUGUGUAUUGUACCAGAUGAAGUGUUAUUGUAAUAUCCGUGUCACCUUCAGGGCUACGACCAUAGCUACUUCUUCAUCAAUGACCACAUUAAGCACCAUGCCAAGUUCCUCAACGCUUUAGACCAUGACUGCUGGACCAGAACCCAACCAGGCGUUCUCCUCUAUGCCUUCUCCUCCCAACUGUGCACCUGCUACUAUGCACCUGUCCCAUACAGAGAGACGUAGGUGCCUGGUGAACUGACAUUAACCUGAUACGCCUGGUGAGCUGAAAUGAACACACCUGCUGUGUUGAGUCAAGCUGAGAAAAAGACAAUAGUGAGAGCAGGAUGUUUGUUAAGAGGAGCUUGCUUGCCACCCACAUGGUCACUCCAACUGGAUAAAAAAAUAAAUGUUACUCCUUUUGAUUA